AUCGCUUCUCGGCCUUUUGGCUAAGAUCAAGUGUAGUAUCUGUUCUUAUCAGUUUAAUAUCUGAUACGUCCCCUACCCGGGGACCAUAUAUUAAAUUGAUUUUUGGAUCAGGGAGCCGGAACGGGGGCUUGCUCCUUCCACUCCACGCAUCGACCGGUAUUGCAUUACCUCCAGGUACGGUGCACAUUCU
ensembl:snRNA U2 U2 spliceosomal RNA